rnacentral:lncRNA from 1 species
GAUUCAAGCAUACUUUGUCUUGUGUGUGGAUUCACCCCUGCAUGCUCUUAUGGAACAACACCUCCACCAUCACUCGAUAAGUAGAAAUAUUAUUGAUUCUCUUGUACUGAGAAAAAUAAAAAAAUCCAUACAAUAUAAUGUAUAGUAACAUUGGAUUUAGAUGUGUGUACUCUGAUUGGGCAGAGUAGCACGUUGAGUUAUUAAAUACAUAGUUCUAUUUGUAAUCAUUUUUUAAGUGAUCUAAUUGUGUAAAUCUUAUGGUAUGUAUUGUAAUUUACUGAGCAGCUGAAGAUAACAAGUCCUCGUCAUAAUAAAGUUGCAUGUAAUUAGGCUAAUCACUUGUAAUCUAUUGUACUUAAUGUUAUGAUAUAUUUUCUUAGUGAUAAUCUGGGACCAGUUAUAAAUUUUCUUCUUUCCAGUUCAUAUCCUCCUUUCAUUAAUUUAGCCAAUUAAUUGAUACAAAAUAAUUAAUUAAUGGAUACAAGAUUCACUAGAGUUAAUGGGAACAAAAAUCUCUACAUCGUAAUUUAAUUAUGGAAUUUUAAGUGGAUUCUUUAUGCUUCCUUGAUAAUUCUCUAAGUUAGCUUUUGAGCAUGAAUAAUUCUUAACAUGAUGUAAUUAGAGUCACACUUAUUUCAAUUCUUGAUUUAUCUGAUGUUGGAUACUCAUAUUAUGUUGUUUACGCUUCAGUUGACAGAUCUAGGCGCGCGUACUACAGAUCUAUAGAGAAUGCAUGUUAAUAGUCGCACAUAGUUCUUGACAUGGAAAAGUGGACUCUUUAUGUGAUCUUGGUCAAUCUUCAACUACCGAAAUAAAAUUCUAGAAUUGAAUCAUGCCCAAAAUUCAUUUCUUAACCCAAUUCAAUAGCUGCAUAAGUAAUAAAAAGAGGAACAACAUUGCUGCGUUAUAAUAACUUACUAAGUAAUAAUUUGAACCGUCACUAUACAACAAACACUACAACAAAUUUGCCCUCCAACAACAGUUGAAAAAUGUGGCCUAAACUAUAAAUAAAUAUAGCCUUUGAUCGAAGGCCACACUUUUUUACCUAUGACAACGCUUUUAAGGGGGUGGCCUAAACAAGCGUAACCUUUUCCCUAAGGCAACACUUUUAAGAGGAAAAGACUACGAAUUACAAGAAGCGUUGCCUUUGCAUUCACCUAUGACAACGCUUCUGUAUACCAUCUACGGGCACACUUUUGUGCUUUAAAACAACACUUUUGAAGUGUCACAUUUCAUUCUUUAUAGGCAACACUUUAAACUUGUUGCUUGUUUUUCAACAUUCAGCCACACUAUAAAAAUGUUGGUGAAGGUAGUUAUGUCUAUAUCUAUGUGGCCACAUUUAUACAAGCUAUGCCACGACUUUCUAAUUAAAAAUUAAAAUAUAAUAACAGUAUUUUUUAAAAAAAUUUAUUAUUAUAAUAUGUAUCUUGAAACCACUUUUUAAAUAAGAAAUAUAAAGCAUCACAUUAAAUAAUAGAGAACCAAAAAUAUCUUCACAAUACAAAAACUUUGAAAUAUUCUAAUAUUCAACAUCAACAGUUAGUAAUGCAAACUACUUCAAAGUUGUGCAAUAGUACUUUUAAUAAAUUUAAAACAUCCAAACUAUUCAUGUAGUAUCAUGAAUAAUAUUAGAUCAUAAAUGAAUAAAAUUGGUCAACCGAAUCAACUCAACUUUUCGGCCACCAUUUCCAAUUGCAUCGCCAUAAGUUUCCUACAGGUUAAAAGUGAAAUUGAAACUUGAUUAGAUAGAAAGUAAGUAUACUUAGAAAAUGUAAAACUAUAAUUCAAUAAUAUGUCAAACUGCAUUUAUGCAAAAAUAUAAUAUUAAUCUACAAUCUCGUUAUGAUGUGGGAGGCAGUAAAUCAUAGAUAUGCAGAAACACAUGAAAAUAAUGCUAAAAUGCAGCACACAAAUGCAGAAAAAUGUGGUAUUGAUUACAUAAAUGUAGAAAUAUAGAACAAACUUGAAGAAACAUAAUGCAGAAAAUAAGAACGCUGCAUAAAUGAAAAAGAUUGUAGAUAUCUUAGUAUCUAGUACCUAAAUAUAGUCAAACCGAUAAUACCUUUCCAAGAGUCGGGCCAUGAGUUAAUCCAGAGGAACGUGGAAGAUUUUGGCCUCUUGUAGCCCGUGCACUACUAGAACCAACCGGAGAUGGUUGGUCAGAUCCGAUAAACCCUUCUGCAUCCUCAAGGUUUAGUCCAGGAUUAUUUUUUACCAACAAUUUCAUGAGAUGUCGCAGUUGUUGCAAUUCUUGCACUUCUUCCUUCAAUCCCUCCAACUUUCUCAAUUCAACCACUUCUUCCUUCAAUUCUUUAACUUCUUCCUUAAAUGAAUUGAUUUCAUCAACAUGUUUUUGUUUGAUUUUGUUGAUUUCCUCAUCUUUUUUUAAAGAAGUUCUUGUCACAGAUCUACCAUAGCAUCGAACUCGACCAGGCUGCUCAUUUCCAAACACUGCCUUAAAUGAGUCAUCUGUUGUUUCCCCCAAGUGUUGACGAUUUUGAAGUUCAGCCUAUAAAUAAUACAUUAGGAAUUGUCUUGAUAAAGCAAGAUGAGAGCUAAAAGUCAAACACUGCCUUAAAUUAAGGUCAUGAAUCUUGUCAUAAGCAGGAAAGAAACAACACAUUGAAGUUACUGUACAUACAUGAUUACUUAGUUGAAAAGUCAAGGGAUUUGAAAAGCAAUUAACGGUCAAAAGAAUUACUUACAAUUACAACUUCAGUUUCAGAAUCAACUUGUUUUUCAUUCUUCGUACGAGUUGCAAUAAACAUUUCAGCCUUUGAUGGUUCCUCAUUAUUCUCUUUGGUUGCACGCUACAAAAAAAGUAAAAAAUAUAAGCAACUAAUAUGUAAUCUAACAAAAUAUAAAAGAUAAAAAAAUAUUUAUCUACAAAGUGUCUAAAAUGAUACCAGUGCCAUGCGUACUCUUCCAAAAUUAACAGGCCUCAUUCGAUGCCUCCAUUUUUGUUUCUUUCUGUUUUUGAGAAUUUAAAGAACACAUGGCCUGUAAUUUAAGAAAAAGUAAUUAAUAUAUAUAUGGGCUAAAGAAUUAAAUGCAUUAUUUGUAUCUCACUUUAACAGUUGGAAGCUCCCAAUACUCUAUCAACUGGUGAAAUUGAACUUAUGGUAUCCAACUAGUACAAUUUUUUAGCCUAUCUUCCAGUGUUUUAUACUUAUCAAAAUAAUUCUCCUUAACAUAUCUCUUAUGUCGCCUCCAAGCAUCACAAAGACCAUCCAUCACCCAUUUUUCUCCUUCUGCUGGAAUUAUAAACUUGGUUUACACAAAUAACAUAUAUGUUACUAGUAAAAUAGACAUAAUAAAACAGAAUCAUAAAAGGUUGAGUAUUCUUACAUUGACAUAUUCCCACAUGCGUAGUUUAGUAUCUUUUGGCACAGCAGGCCAACCAGUAUACAACAAGGUGAUGAAUCUAGAGUUCCUAGCAAUUGUUCCUAGAAAAUUGCUCAAAUCAGACACUCUUUUUCCAGUUGGUUCGAUAGCUUGUCCAUGAUCAAAUGUCACCUCCUCUCUUUCUUCAAAAUUUCUUGCAUGAAUAGUCUUACAUGUUGUGUGUCCUCGAACCUUUUUCUUCUCCAAAGUUCCUGAUUUAAUGUAAUAUUAAUAAAUAAGAUAAAACAUACUAUACAACUAUAAAAUUUACAAUGCGAGUUAAACUUAUAUAACUACCAAAAGAAGAUUUAAAACAUACCAUCUUUAGAACAAUUUAUGUCCAUAUUUUUAUCUCGAACACACUCAUCAACUUAUUCAGGCGCAACACCAUCAGCCACUUCGAUAUUGUUUUCAUUAAUACAUGGAGAUGGCAUAUAUCUAACAUCAUCUACUGGCUGAAUAUAAGGUUCUUCUUCACCACCACAUGUAUCCCAUUUUUUUCUAGAAAAUGAUUAAGACUCAUCGCUGGUACAAGUGACUUUUUCUUAGCUUUUUUGUAAUUUUGUAGCUCCUCAAUAUCAAGUUGAUUUUCUUCUUCACCUUGUGUUCUUUCAGUCAUAUGGAAAGUGUUAACUUCUUUCCUUGAUAAAAGUUAGGUCACAGAUUUAUGUAUAGGUAGUUUACUCCUCUCUUGCAUUUGAAUUGACCCCUCAAACUGAAUUGAUCUCUGCAUAGGUUGUCUUUCACUUUGCAUUUGAUGUAACAGACAUACAAUUCUUCCUUUUAUAAGGUGGUGCCUGAUCGAAAUUUUUUCCUUUCAUAACUAGAUUCUUGCGUUCAUUGUCAAGUUUUUCCUUCUUAAUUUGAAAUUGUUUGCGCAGCUGAACACUUGAUCAGAAUUGAUAAUCAAAACUUACAUUCUUUAUUGGACUUGAACCGUUGUUAGAAUUCAGAACCUUUUUCUUUAAGGCUGCUCCUUGAUUCAUUCUUCAUAUAAAAAUAAUAGUUAGUAUAGCAACUAAUAAGAAUUUAGUGCAGAAAAUAUAAAAAUGCAGUGUAAAAUUUGCAGAAAAUAUAAAAAUAUAGUGCUGAAAAUUAAAAGGUAGUGCAACAAUGCAGAAAUAUAGUGCAGAAAUGCAGAAAUAUAGUGCAUAAAAUAUAAAACAAUGCAGAAAAUACAAAACUAAAGUGCAAAGUGUGCAAAAAAUGUAAAAAUACAGAACAGAAAAUAAAGAAACAUAGUGCAGAAAAUUAAAAGAUAGUGCAGCGAUGCAGAAAUGUAGAAAUAUAGUGCAGAAAUUCAGAAAUAUAGUGCAAAAAAUAUAAGACGCUGCAGAAAAUACAAAAUUGCAGUGAAAAGUGUACAUAAAAUGUAAAAAUGCAAAACAGAAAAUAAAGAAACAUAGUGCAGAAAAUUAAAAGAUAGUGCAGCAAUGCAAAAAUGCAGAAAUAUAGUGCAAAAAAGAUAAAACAAUGCAGAAUAAUUACUAAGUAAUAAUUUGAACCGUCACUAUACAACAAAUUUUAACUACCACUUAGUACUUGAGAAUUUAAUUAAAGUGAUAUAUAGUAUAUAUAUACUUUGAAAGACUUUUUAAUUGAUUGGAGUUGCCAUCAGUUGUUGGAGAAACCAAUAGUGUUAAAAGUGCACUUCCAUUAUAUGAGUGUGUACAAUCAUAUAAGAAUUUUAGUGUAUUCUACUUGCAGUUUGGAGAAACUUUUUCAUUAACAAAGUACUAUAACAAAGUAUAUUUAGGGUGUGUUUGGUAUGAAGGAAAACAUUUUUCGGAAAAUGUUUUUUCAAUUUUCUCAUGUUUGGUUGGGAGGAAAGUUUAGGAAAAUGUUUUCCAAAUCAACUCAUUUUUCUCAAAUUAAAGGAAAAUGACUUCCCUUUAAAACUUAAGGAAAACAUUUUCCUAAACUUUCCUCCAACUUCAUAUUACAAUUUUUUUGUUGAAAAAAUUAAAUUUUUUUGUUGAACAAAUAAAUUUAAAGCUUAUAUUUAAAAAACAUUUUCAACUUCAAUUUUUUUAUUUUUUUACCCACCCUCACCCCAACCCCCACCCCCCUCCCCACCAAAANNNNNNNNNNNNNNNNNNNNNNNNNNNNNNNNNNNNNNNNNNNNNNNNNNNNNNNNNNNNNNNNNNNNNNNNNNNNNNNNNNNNNNNNNNNNNNNNNNNNNNNNNNNNNNNNNNNNNNNNNNNNNNNNNNNNNNNNNNNNNNNNNNNNNNNNNNNNNNNNNNNNNNNNNNNNNNNNNNNNNNNNNNNNNNNNNNNNNNNAUAUUCCAUACACUUAUACUCAAAUCAUUCAGAUAUUAAUCCAAUAUCGCACAAAUCCAUGGUAUAAACAGUAUACACAAUAACAAAAAAAAAAAAAAAAAAAAUCAAUGUUUGUUUUUAAAAUAUAUUUUCAAUUUUAAAUUUUUAUUUUUUCACCCCCCCACCCCCAAUCCCCAAAAAAAAUUUAAGUUUAUUUUUAAAAAAUAUUUUUAAUUUCAAUUCAAAAUUAUUUUCUACUCUCUAGUAAAAAAAAAGAUAUUUUCUCAAAAAUAAUUAUAUUCAUAAAUCAAACACUAAAAAAUCUUUUCUACUCAUCAACCAAACAUGAUAAAAUAAAUCAAAAGUCUACUAGUUUUCCAGGAAAACAUUUUCCUUCAUACCAAACACACCCUUAAUGUAAAAUCAUUUCCUAUUUAAGAAUCACAUAACAGAGUUCUUAAUUUGACAUUUGGAAAGUUACUUUUUAUCAGAUAGAUUAAAGAACAUAAUUUUGUAAGAAUAGCUAACACUAAGAAUCACAUAAAAAAUAUGUUCAUCAACAUCUGGAAAGUUUUAAGUUGUUUUUAUUUAGAAAAUUAUAAGUUCAAUAAUUAUAGAAUGCACUAAAUUUGGUAAAGUUGGACGGCACAAUAAUAUCACUUCAUUCCUACCUAAUAAAUGAUACUACAAAAUAUGGACACAACAUAAAGUUGUAAUUUGUGAAAUAUUUUCAGAUUAUAUUUUAUGCAGAGUCCAAGUUCUAAUGUUAGUAGCUCCUUCAAACUUUCAAGACUCAAGUAUAUUCAGCUAGUUUUGAGAAUAAAAGUCGAUUUUUAUAAAAUAAGAAAUCAUUGCUAGUAAUAAUGACUUGUCACGAGUUUAUUAGCUUUGAUAAAACUCGGAAGCAAGAUAUAGCAGUAGUAACUUGUUAAAUAAGGUGAGCAGAAAUCAAUACACUAAGGGCCCGUUUGGCCAUGCGAUAUGGUAUCAUGAUAUGGAAUCAUGAUAUGGUAUCAUGAUAUGGAAUCAUGAGAUGAAAUUGAAGGUUUGUUUGGACAUGUGAUAUGGAAUCAUGAUAUGGAAUCAUGAGAUAAAAAUCUCAUAAGUUGUAAAACUAUUAAAAUAGCCCCAAUUGUUUAUUCAAUCUUAUCAAAUAAACAAAAAAUUAUAAAAUCGCAUAAUAAAUUAUUACAAAGAGAUUUGUUUCCCACUUAAAUAACUGUUUCAUCAAACUUAAAUUCAAUAAAAAAAAUUGAACAUAAAUUGUACUUGAUAUGCUCAUAUCUCUCAACUACUCUUACAAAUAACCUAUAAAGUAGGGAAAAAACAUACAUUAGUGAGUAAAUAUUAACUUAGAAGUUAAAUACACUAAGAUAAAAAUUAACAAACAUCACUGACUUCUAACUAUUUACAAGAAAAAUCAAUAGUUAAAUAUUAUUGAAUAACGAAAUUUUAAAAAGUUACCACAAGUUUGAGUCAAAAACACUUCUAAUAAAAUUUAAUCAAAAAAAUUAUAACUAGUCCACUUGACUAAAUAUUAAUAACUAAUUGAUCAAAUUUUCCCAAGUCCUCAAUCAAUUGGACUUGAUAUUCUUCAGUCAUGUGAACGAACAUUUUGCGAAUACUAAGAUUAAGAAAGUGCGGCACCGCCAAUGAAAAUUGUCUUUUAUCAAUAUUAUGCUUAGUCAUAAGAUUAAGACGUUUUUUUUAUUAUGAAAAAUCAAAAAAGUAUUACUCCCUUCGUUCUUAUUUAUAUUCACCAAAUGAAUUUCUACUUUAUCAUUUAUAUUCACCAAAUUUAAAGUAAUAAUAAAUUUUAUAUUGGUGAGAAUAAUAAAUUUUAAAAAGUAAUGAUGUGAUUAUAAAUUUUAUUUACAUAUGAAACAAAUGGUUAGUAGAUAUAAAUGUGGGGUUGUUUUAACAAAAUAUAAACUCAUGGAUCAAUUAUUGAAUUAAAAUAUCUCAAAUCAUGAUAUGGAAUCACAUGGUGAUUCCAUAUCAUGGUUUUUGGAGAAUAUGAUAUCACCUCUCAUGAUAUGGAAUCAGCGUAAAAUCGCAUGUCCAAACGCUGAUUCCAUCUCACGAUACCAUAUCGUGAUAUGGUAUCGCAUGGCCAAACGAUAUGGUGUCGUGAGAUGGAAUCAGCGUUUGGACAUGCGAUUUUACGCUGAUUGAAUACUAAGAUUAAGAAAGUGCGGCACCGCCAAUGAAAAUUGUCUUUUAUCAAUAUUAUGCUUAGUCAUAAGAUUAAGACGUUUUUUUUUAUUAUGAAAAAUCAAAAAAGUAGUACUCCCUUCGUUCUCAUUUAUAUUCACCAAAUGAAUUUCUACUUUAUCAUUUAUAUUCACCAAAUUUAAAGUAAUAAUAAAUUUUAUAUUGGUGAGAAUAAUAAAUUUUAAAAAGUAAUGAUGUGAUUAUUGAAACAAAUGGUUAGUAGAUAUAAAUGUGGGGUUGUUUUAACAAAAUAUAAACUCAUGGAUCAAUUAUUGUAUAAAAAUAUCAUGGUUUUUGGAGAAUAUGGUAUCACCUCUCAUGAUAUGGAAUCAGCGUAAAAUCGCAUAUCCAAACGCUGAUUCCAUCUCACGACACCAUAUCGUGAUAUGGUAUCGCAUGGCCAAACGCCUACUAAUUAAAGCUCUACAAAACUUUGAGAUGCCUCAAAAUUCUAGUUGGCGCUAAAAUGAAGCAACUACAUGUACUGUUGACAAGCUAUUCAAAUUAGUCGUAUUAUUGCUAUACUUUGACAUUUCUUUGCAAUAACAAAGCUUCUUAAGGCACAUAUGUCGUGAUUGUGCAUACUUUUUUCUUGACAUUAGUCCUUCUUGAUUAUGCAGAAAUUUAUUCUUUGGACCUGAUGUCAGGUCAGUCUUUAUGACUAUCUUCCUAAUAGUUGCUGUUUUUUCAUGUGUCUUUGUUGCGAGGAAAUUGUUGGUCAGUGCUCUCCAGCUAAAGUUAGCGGCUUUGAAGGUCUUCAGAGAUGGGCCAUUGUGUGAAGACCGAGCAAUGAGAGUCUGGUGAACUUGCUCGAGUUGAAAAAAAUCCUUCUAUUCAUUAGUACUUUUAGAAGCAGAACAUUAGUUGCUCUGCAAGUAUUAAAAUAAUUAAGUAAUAUCUAACGUGAAAAUGAAUAGGGGCAAUAUUCUUGGUAAUUCAAUUAAAAUUAUGAAUAAUUGGAGGAGAUUAUAAAAUAACAAUAAAGAUCCAUUAGGAAUGAUUAAAUUAUGUAUGUUAAUGAUUGAGGUACGAUGAAAUGAUUGACACUUCCACUUAAUUAGAGAAUUUAUGGAUUUGUCUCUUAAGUGUAAGUCAUAAUAUAAUUGUUAUUGGCCCACUUUUGACUAAUAUAGAUUUUUCUAACUACUGAGUAAUAAAUAAUGUAAAAGGAAAAAACAAUAAGAAGUGAUAUAUGUGACAUUGUUCAAUUUGAUAAAAACCUUUAAAAAAAAUAAUAUUUUUUGUAAUUUGUAAUCUAUAAUAUUUUUUGAUAAUUUGUGUGACUGUAAUUCAUUUCUUUAAGAGUAAAUGGAAAAUUUUACGAAAAUGUGACAUUCUUUUUGGAACGGAUUAAAAAGAAAUGCAUGUCACACAAAUUAAAAUAGAAAAAAAUAUUAUAUUUAAAAUGUAACAUUUGUCAUCUUUUAAAUAAAAUAACUAUAUGCUAUAAUAGGUAAAUAUAAAAUAAUGGUAUAACAAUUGCAUAUACUAACAUGUGUAUAACUCAAGUAUUUUGGCAAUUGAGUUCUAAAAACUAACAAGAAAAAGAGAUUUUUACUAAGGACACCAAAAACAAAUGCCCAAUGACCAGAAAUAGCCAUCUCUUUUUCUUUUCUCAAAAUGAAAAUUUCUCUCUUUGUUAAUCUCUCAGUUACAAAGAAUUGCAAGUACUUGAUUGAUAAUGAAAUGAGGAGUGCUCACUUCACAUAUUUAUAUAGCAAGGCUACAAGUAUAUAAUAUUAUUG